AGCUUUGCACAGUGGCAGUAUCGUAGCCAAUGAGGUUUAUCCGAGGCGCGAUUAUUGCUAACUGAAUUAGGAUGUGAAACAUUCAAACAAAGAAACAUGGUUUUAGUGUAAAUUAAUAAAAGUUAAUUACAAAA
ensembl:snRNA U4 U4 spliceosomal RNA